rnacentral:sRNA from 1 species
AUAGGUUUUGAAAAAAAUUAAAGCAUCAAGUACUUCUAAAUUCCUUGGGGAAAGUUUAUGUAUUAACACUGCCAAGUAUAACCGAAACAUUCCCAGACUUCAGUACCUGAAGGGAAAUGGGAAUCCCUUCAUCACAUCUCCCUUGAGAUGAUGUCCACAUGCUCUGGCUACCAUUAUUAAGAUUUUAGCAGAACCUUGGUAAUAGGAGAGUAUAAAUGCAGGUUUAUUGGUGGCUGCUCUGGGUGGGUUCCUAAUCUCACAGGAGGAGGUCAGUGAAGUUGCCAUGCAGAUGGGGGAGGGAGGAGGGUGGGCAAGGACAGAGAAAAAUUCAAGGCACACAGGAAGCAAAAUGUCUGGAAUACAUAGGGAAGAGCCUAUGUUCUUGGAAAGUUAGUGGGGACAGCAGGGUAUGUAAGCCAUGCUUUGCUUGUAACAGGUAGGGAUUGAGGGUUCCUGGGAGAAUUCGGAGGCCAGGUCUGCUUUGAUAUGUUAUAUAGGCACCUCAGCUACUUGUUCCAGAUCUGAACCCCAGUACUUGGGGUUCUGUCUUCAAGGCUGAUUUCAUAAGAUCAUAAGGUCACAGGGACGAUCUAAAGUGUAGGUGUUUGCUGUCUGUGAGAUACAGUAUACCUACCAUAUCUACUGGUGCUUACAAGGAGUUCAACCCACCUUUGGUCCCUGACCUGGUGUUUUCUAAGUCCCCUGAAGGCUCUCUAUCUCCCAUUGCUCAGACAGAUCCAACAGAGUGACAGAGACCAGCAUGUUUAACCGAGAAUACUGUAUUUUCCUCAAGGACUGCAAAUCCAAGAUGGAGAUGCCAGCAAGGGUGGUUUCAGAGGAGACUUCUCUUUAAGAUCACGUGGCUGCCAUUCUUGUGUCUCUGAUUAGUCAUUUGGGAACUCAGUGAGGACCUCUUGCUGCAAAGGACAGUUUGGAGUUGUCUGCUUGUUUUAAUGCUUACUACGUGCUGGGAUGAUGUGUGCUUGUUUGUUUUUAAGAGGCUCCUAAUCUUACUCUCUGAUCUUCAGCCAGUUCCUCUCACGAUUGGCUUGAAGGGUACAGCCACCCACAGGACACCCAAACCCAGAUCUGCUGUGUUCAUCUGCAAAGCCUAAAUCAAUGAAGCCUUGUACACCAGUGUAUCAUCAAAAAUACAUGAGCAAAGCUGUUUGCCAAAUACAUCACUGACAAGAUUUAGCCGUUGCUUAAUUGCUUUGAUCUUUGCUAGUUUCUCUAGAGAAAGUUCCAAAACCUAUUGUCCUGGAAAGCACUUUAUAUUGGACUCUUUUGCACAAAUAUUGGGUGAGACUUAUCUAAGCUCUUCUGCAUACUGGAGCAUCAUCUAGAAAUCUUCAAAGGCUUUCUGACCAGUAGAAAUGAAGAGGUUCCUUUCAGACAUUGCCAAAGAUGUCAGAAGGAUCUUUGGACAAAAGGGAUUUGUCAGUCAGACACUGUAUAUUUUAAGUUUGUGUUUAUAAUAGUUUCAACUUUAACACAAUUUUCAUUAUAGCCAGAAUCUGAAUUCCAAGCACAAUUAUACUUAAUUUUGAAUGUUAGAAGAAUCUUGUGUUUGAAAUAAUCUCUGUCUAUAUUUUUCUGGUUAAUACAAAAAUGUUUCCUCUUCAGUAUUUACCAGAGUUUGGAAUGAGAGUGACUGUUCCCCAUAGACUCAAAUAUUUGAAUGUUUGAUUGUCACUUGGUAGACUAUUCAGGAAGAAUUAGGAGGAUAGCCUUGUUGGAGGAGUUGUA